rnacentral:rRNA from 1 species
CAGUCGCCGCGGGAAAACGUAGGUGGCAAGCGUUGUCCGGAAUUAUUGGGCGUAAAGGGCUCGCAGGCGGUUUCUUAAGUCUGAUGUGAAAGCCCCCGGCUCAACCGGGGAGGGUCAUUGGAAACUGGGAAACUUGAGUGCAGAAGAGGAGAGUGGAAUUCCACGUGUAGCGGUGAAAUGCGUAGAGAUGUGGAGGAACACCAGUGGCGAAGGCGACUCUCUGGUCUGUAACCGACGCUGAGGAGCGAAAGCGUGGGGAGCGAACAGGAUUAGAUACCCGCGUAGUCCCUGUCUCUUAUAC